rnacentral:rRNA from 1 species
CGGAGGAAAAGAAACCAACAGGGAUUGCCUUAGUAGCGGCGAGUGAAGCGGCAAAAGCUCAAAUUUGAAAUCUGGCUCUUUCAGAGUCCGAGUUGUAAUUUGAAGAAGGUAUCUUUGGGUCUGGCUCUUGUCUAUGUUUCUUGGAACAGAACGUCACAGAGGGUGAGAAUCCCGUGCGAUGAGAUGAUCCAGGCCUAUGUAAAGUUCCUUCGAAGAGUCGAGUUGUUUGGGAAUGCAGCUCUAAGUGGGUGGUAAAUUCCAUCUAAAGCUAAAUAUUGGCGAGAGACCGAUAGCGAACAAGUACAGUGAUGGAAAGAUGAAAAGAACUUUGAAAAGAGAGUGAAAAAGUACGUGAAAUUGUUGAAAGGGAAGGGCUUGAGAUCAGACUUGGUAUUUUGUAUGUUACUUCUUCGGGGGUGGCCUCUACAGUUUAUCGGGCCAGCAUCAGUUUGGGCGGUAGGAGAAUUGCGUUGGAAUGUGGCACGGCUUUGGUUGUGUGUUAUAGCCUUCGUCGAUACUGCCAGCCUAGACUGAGGACUGCGGUUUAUACCUAGGAUGUUGGCAUAAUGAUCUUAAGUCGCCCGUCUUGAAACACGGACC